rnacentral:lncRNA from 1 species
GACGAGGCGGAGAAUAGAAAAGAAAAUCCAAACCCAACCGAGGACGGGGACGGGGAGGAGAACCUGAUGGAGAAUCCCUACUCCAUGAAGCUGGAGUUUGUGGACGAUCCAAACUUCCCGAAUAAAAAGGUCAAUUACUCCUACAGCGCCGUCCAAAUCCCUACGGACAUCUAUAAAGGCUCACCGGUCAUCCUGAAUGAGCUAAACUGGACCCAGUCUUUGGAGAAAGUAUUCAUUGAUAAUCGCCGGGAGGACAGCUCUCUGCGGUGGCAGGUGUUCGGCAGCGCCACAGGGGUCACGAGAUAUUACCCAGCCGCUCCGUGGAGCAGUACACAGAAUAAGAUUGACCUGUAUGAUGUCCGCAGACGGCCGUGGUACAUCCAGGGAGCGUCAUCUCCCAAGGACAUGGUCAUCAUUGUGGAUGUGAGCGGCAGUGUCAGCGGACUCACUCUGAAGCUGAUGAAGAACUCGGUGGUGAAGAUGCUGGAUACGCUGUCUGACGACGACUACGUGAAUGUGGCCAGGUUUAGCGAGAAGGCCGAGGCGGUGGUCCCCUGCUUUAAGACCUUGGUCCAGGCCAACAAGAGAAACAAGAACAUCUUCAAGGAGUCCAUCAUGAACAUGCACGCCAAAGGAACAACCGACUACAAGUCUGGCUUCCAGUUCGCCUUCGAACAGCUGCUCAAUGUAACCCCCAGGGCGGGCUGCAAUAAGAUGAUAAUGAUGUUUACCGAUGGGGGGGAGGAUCGUGCUCAGGACAUCUUUGAGAAGUACAACUGGCCCAACAAAACUAUUCGAGUAUUUACCUUUUCGGUAGGGCAGCAUAACUAUGAUGUCACACCUCUGCAGUGGAUUGCCUGCGCCAAUAAAGGCUUCUACUACGAGAUUCCAUCCAUUGGAGCAAUUCGGAUAAACACACAGGAGUACCUGGAUGUUCUGGGUCGGCCUAUGGUUCUGGCGGGGCCAAGGGCCAAACAGGUCCAGUGGACCAAUGUGUACCAAGAUGCUCUUACUCUAGGUCUGGUCAUUACUGGGACCAUGCCAGUCUUCAACCUAACGGCUGAUGCUAACUCACAGCUCGUCCUCGGCGUCAUGGGAGUGGAUGUGGCGAUCAGCGAAAUUAAGAAAAAGACGCCAACAUACAGGCUUGGAGCUAACGGUUAUACCUUUGCAAUAGACCAAAAUGGCUAUUUACUUCUUCACCCCAACCUGCAGCCGAAGAUCAUUAACUUCAUAGAGCCUGUCACUUUGGACUUCCUGGAUGCUGAGCUGAUGGACAGCAAAAAAGAAGAGGUAACUAGGGCACUCAGCAGAACACCCACACCUCAACAAUGCAGGCUGGUGUUGCCCACGUACAGUGAGAACCACAUCAAGGCCAACCUGAGUGACCAGAUCCUGCAGGUGCAGUAUAAUCUUCCCCUUUCUGUUGCAGAUUUUGAAUCACUGCUGCCAAACAGUUUUGAGUCUGAAGGACAUGUGUUCAUAGCUCCCAGGGAAUACUGCAACGAGCUGGAGCUCUCCAACAACAACACAGAGUUUCUUCUCAACUUCAUCGCCCUCAUGGAGAAGGUGACUCCCGACUCCAAACAAUGUGACAGCCUGCUCCUUCACAACCUCAUCCUGGACACUGGCAUCAUCAGACAGCUGGUGGAGAAGGUGUGGAAGACCAAAGACCUUGCAUCAUAUGGCUUUUUGGCAGUGUUUGCUGCAACAGACGGAGGAAUUACCAGAGUUUAUCCCAACAAGGCUGCUGAGACCUGGGAGGAGGACCCCGAGCCGUUUAACGCCAGUUAUUACCGGCGUAGUCUGGACAACAAAGGCUACAUCUUCAGAGCACCUUAUCAGAACGACACCAUUGGGAUCCUGGUCAGCACUGCAGUGGAGAUCACGGUUGGAGGGAAAACCCUGAAACCUGCUGGUGAGCUGUCCUCCACACAUCACCCACUCUGGGAGCGAAGGUUUCAAUUCCAGUUGGGGUUGUCACUGUUGUCCAUCUGUCCCCUGCAGGAUCUUCUCUGUUACCUAUUGGAUGAUGGAGGUUUUCUGAUUAUGUCCAAUCAGAAGGAGCACUCGAACAAGGUUGGCAUGUUCAUCACUGAAGCGGAUCAGUACCUUAUGCAUGCUCUCUACAACAACUCCCUUUACAACCGAAAGCAGUCCCUUGACUACCAGUCUGUUUGUGAACCUGUGCCAACCAGCAACACCGGGGCUGCACCAAGAGGAGUGUUUGUGCCGACCAUUGCAGACUUUGUGAACCUGGCCUGGUGGACAUCAGCCGCCGUGGAGGCUGAGGGGACGGACUCCAAGGAGACCAGCUGUGUGACGAUACAGACACAGUUUUACUUCACUAACGUCAGCAGCUCCUACGGCAUCAUGCAGGACUGUGGAAACUGCUCCAGGCUGAUCCAUGCCAGGAAGUUAAACAACACAAACCUACUGUUUGUGGUGGCAGAGAAGUUGCCCUGCAAUGCCUGUGAGGCGGAGAAAUUGUCCCAGGUGGAGACUGAAUGUAUCCUUACCCACGCGGCGCGGUAUCGAAAAGGGCCCACCGUGUGCUACGACUACAACAUCACUGAGAAUACAUCGGACUGUGGGCAGGGCUACUCUUUCCGGCCAUCCGUCCAUACCCUGCUCACGAUCCAGCUCAUCCUCCUCUACCCAAUCUGCCCUGUCCCUGCUCUAGUCAUAGGUAAUUGA